rnacentral:rRNA from 1 species
UAUAUUAAAGUUGUUGCAAGUUAAAAAGCUCGUAGUUGAAUUUCGGGGUUAGUAGGUUGGUCAUGCCUAUGGUAUGUACUGGUCUCAGUGAUUCCUCCUUCCUGAUGAGCCGUAAUGCCAUUAAUUUGGUGUUGCGGGGAAUUUGGACUGUUACUUUGAAAAAAUUAGAGUGUUUAAAGCAAGCUAACGCUUGAAUACAUUAGCAUGGAAUAAUGAAAUAGGACGUUCGAUCCUAUUUUGUUGGUUUCUAGGAUUGACGUAAUGAUUAAUAGGGAUAGUUGGGGGCAUUAGUAUUCAAUUGUCAGAGGUGAAAUUCUUGGAUUUAUUGAAGACUAACUACUGCGAAAGCAUUUGCCAAGGAUGUUUUCAUUAAUCAAGAACGAAAGUUAGGGGAUCGAAGACGAUCAGAUACCGUCGUAGUCUUAACCAUAAACUAUGCCGACUAGGGAUCGGAUGAUGGUAAUUUUUAAUGACUCA